CUUUACUCUAGCUAACUAUUGCCUCUACAAAGCUACUUAUUUAAAAAAAAAGUCUCCUAAAUUCUUCUGAAAAGACUAUAUAAAAAGUUUCUUAAUAUCACAUUUAAGUAAUUUAAUAGAUUACGUGAUAAAUAGGACUCUUGUAGUCUAAGCACCCACCAUGAGGUGUUUCCACUUUUUCUUUGGAAAACUACAGGUUGUCGGGGGUUGCCCCCGAUGGAAUGCCAUUGCUCGGGAAUUGAAGGGUGCCGCUCGGUGACGCGUAAGUGGCCCAGGUACAGCAAGGCCACAAUGGUGGUGGAAUUCCCAGAACCGGAGGGCAUCAUUAGUCAUGUAAGUGGGUGGGGGUGGAGCGGAGAGAGCCAUCACUUCGCACUGCGGGUACGACAACGAAACACAACGACAACAACAAAGACUGGAGAGGCAACAGGAAACAACACAACUUUCAGGAUUUUCCAGGGGCUUGGCGCCGCUCCGGGCGCACACUGGAUAAUAUUAAUGGAUAACUUUGGCUCUCCCUUAGCUGUGAAAUCUUUUUUUUUUAAACCACCCAGCGACAGUUUGACACAAACCCUGCAAAAACCUGCCAGCCUGCCCGGGCCCGGGAGAGCCGAGUCGCUGCAGCAGCUGGGGAGAGAGGCGCACGAGCCCACUGACUGCGGGCGGGACGGAGGAGCCGAGGGCUGAGCUUGCACUACUCGGGGAAAGAAGAGAACUCUUUGCAUGAAAGCUUUGUUUGGAGGGAUACUAAGGAACACAUCAGGAACCGAAAAUGCCGAAACCAGUAAGUAAUGCAGUUUUAUCAUUCCAGUCUUUUUGCUCUGGAUGUCCAGCAGGUUCCAUGCUAGAAACUUUGCAGUAUAUCUGUAUAUUUAUAUAUUAUAUAUGUUAAUAUAAUAAUAUACAUAUUGUUAUACAUAAGAUAAUAUAUAAUGUUAAUAUAUAUUAAUGAAAAUGACCUUAGACAAAGAUCCUUGUCUAAAUCCUUAGGAUUUUUUUUUAAAAGGGGAAAGUAAAAAGACAAACAGAGAACCUUUCUCCCGCCUUCCCCUUUACUUCCUCUUGGGCCUUUAUGUGUCGAUUCUGAGAAACAUCAAGGAACCGGGAUUAUAGUGUUACACCUACUUAGCUCUCCACAGAGUGUUCCAGUCCUCAGUGAAACUUCUCAUUCUGAACACAGUAGUUAGGACUGGUUUAUUUGUCAUAAGCCUCUUUUGGACUGUUCUUUUGCCUUCUGCAUUUUGAAAAAUAAAAGCACCACAAUCU
rnacentral:lncRNA from 1 species